rnacentral:rRNA from 1 species
AUUAAAUCAGUUAUCGUUUAUUUGAUAGUACCUUACUACUUGGAUACCCGUGGUAAUUCUAGAGCUAAUACAUGCUAAAAACCCCAACUUCGGGAGGGGUGUGUUUAUUAGAUAAAAAACCAACGCCCUUCGGGGCUCCUUGGUGAUUCAUGAUAACCUCUCAGAUCGCAUGGCCUUGCGCCGGCGACGGUUCAUUCAAAUUUCUGCCCUAUCAACUUUCGAUGGUAAGGUUUUGGCUUACCAUGGUUUCAACGGGUAACGGGGAAUUAGGGUUCGAUUCCGGAGAAGGGGCAUGAGAAAUAGCCACUACAUCCAAGGAAGGCAGCAGGCGCGCAAAUUACCCAAUCCCGACACGGGGAGGUAGUGACAAUAAAUACUGAUACAGGGCUCUUUUGGGUCUUGUAAUUGGAAUGAGUACAAUUUAAACCUCUUAACGAGGAACAAUUGGAGGGCAAGUCUGGUGCCAGCAGCCGCGGUAAUUCCAGCUCCAAUAGCGUAUAUUAAAGUUGUUGCAGUUAAAAAGCUCGUAGUUGAAUCUUUGGCCUGGCUGGCAGGUCCGCCUCACCGCGUGCACUUGUCCGGCCGGGCCUUUUCUUCUGGAGAACUGCAUGCCCUUUACUGGGCGUGUUAGGGACCAGGACUUUUACUUUGAAAAAAUUAGAGUGUUCAAAGCAGGCCUUUGCUCGAAUACGUUAGCAUGGAAUAAUAGAAUAGGACGUGCGGUUCUAUUUUGUUGGUUUCUAGGACCGCCGUAAUGAUUAAUAGGGACAGUCGGGGGCAUCAGUAUUCAAUUGUCAGAGGUGAAAUUCUUGGAUUUAUUGAAGACUAACUACUGCGAAAGCAUUUGCCAAGGAUGUUUUCAUUAAUCAGUGAACGAAAGUUAGGGGAUCGAAGACGAUCAGAUACCGUCGUAGUCUUAACCAUAAACUAUGCCGACUAGGGAUCGGGCGGUGUUAUCGAUUUGACCCGCUCGGCACC